GAAAAGGCGUGGGGGAGCAAACCAGGAAUUUAGGAUACCCUGGUAAGUCCACCGCCGUAAAACGAUGUCUACUAGUCCGGUCGGGGACUUCUUGAAAGUUUUUAGUGGGCGCAGCUAACGCCACUAAGUAGACCCCCUGGGGGAGUACGGCCCGCAAGGUUAAAACUCAAAAUGAAUUGACGGGGGGCCCCGCCCAAGCGGUGGAGCAUGUUGUUUAAUUCGACGCAACGAGAAGAACCUUACCUGGCCCCGACAUGCAGAGAACUUUCCAGAGAUGGAUUGGUGCCUUCGGGAACUCUGACACAGGUGCUGCAUGGCCCGUCGUCAGCUCGUGUCGUGAGAUGUUGGGUUAAGUCCCGUAACGAGCGCAACCCCUAUCCCUAGUUGCCAGCAGUUCGGCUGAGAACUCUAGGGAGACUGCCGGUGACAAACCGGAGGAAGGUGGGGAUGACGUCAGGUCAUCAUGGCCCUUACGGCCAGGGCUACACACGUGCUACAAUGGCGCGCACAGAGGGCUGCAAACCCGCGAGGGGGAGCCAAUCUCACAAAACGCGUCGUAGUCCGGAUCGCAGUCUGCAACUCGACUGCGUGAAGUGGGAAUCGCUAGUAAUCGUGAAUCAGAAUGUCACGGUGAAUACGUUCCCGGGCCUUGUACACACCGCCCGUCACAGCCAUGGGAGUGGAUUGCACCAGAAGUGG
rnacentral:rRNA from 1 species